GGUCUGAGGCAGGAGCUGCUGUGUGAGGUCGCAGGACGAUGGGGAAGGCAGAGGGGCCUGUGGGAGAGAAAGGGGCUUUGUUACCACUGCUUCUGCCAUUCCAGGGGACAGGGAUGUGGUCUCUUGGUCCGGUGGGUUCUCUGCGUUCCGCACUGGGGUGAACAGCUCCAAGUCAAGAGUUCUAGAAAGUAUAGGUGUCUGUUCCCUGGCUGCACUGCUUCCUACGCAGGGCACAAGGGCAGAGCCCCUGCACAACUGGUGCAGGCUUCCACCCCACCACAGUGUGCUCUGCCAGGCUGCUGCUACCUGCCCAAGCCUGGUAGCUCAGCUCUACUUCCCUUCCCUUGCCUGCUGUCCUGGACUCCGCCCUGGGUGGAUUUGGUUGCUCUCCUCCCAAAUGGAUUAAUUCUUAGCGGUGUCAUCAAGCAGGACGACGUGCGUGGACUGCUACCAUGAGCUGCUGUGCGUCCGUAUCUUUUCUGCUCAGCGCUAAUGCAGAUGGACAGACACGCCAUGCAUGUUUGUCCAUGAACUCAUCCAGGCAGUGAGGACUGGGGCAGUUUCACCAGCCUCUGCCCAGAACCUUUUAAGAGACUCCUGGGAAGUGAGCUGAGUCACAUCUGCGCUCCCUGAUCACUCGGGUGGGUGGGGGAGACAAUGUAUAGUAACAAGAAAUGAAACACUCUGCUUCACGGGCUAGUGGUUUUCUAGUGGUUUUUUUUUUUUUUAAAGAACAGUGAAAGGACUCGUCUGAAGUUAUUCCGACACGGCCCCUAGUUGCUAGGGCCUAUAUAAAAAAGCAGCUCAAAUGGAAAGUGUCACCCAGGACAGCAUUGGGAGGAAAUGACACCAGGAGACCUUGUUUCAGUGAGAAAUCCCAGGCACAGGGCUGAUCCAGAAGCUGGUCUGGGUUCUGUUUCCCUGCGCAGCUGGGAGGAGACAGAAGCACUCUGGGCCUCCGUUGUUGGCAAAGUGAGUCACACUGGACAGGAGAGUCUGGAAGAAUGGCAGGCACAGCUUGCAAGCGCAUCUGGAGGUGGCUGGAGAGAAAUAAAACGGAUUCUCUGGGGAGACGCAGCACAUCGCCUGGCUCUGCAGCCCCCACCACAUUGUAGCGUACACCCGUGGAGGAGUUUGGGGUCACACACUUACCGGCAUGGUGGCUGCCUGGCUGAGCCCGGGGACAGCAUGUACUCAUCCGAAGAGGGGACCCAUGACCGUGGUGUGCACAGUACAAGAGCUCGCUUGGGAUCUCUGAUAAAGGAAGUCCACCAUGCAGGGUUGAGCUGAACCACAGAAGCCCAGCCUGGGAGCAGGGCUCCAGGACUCCCCAAGGAUCAGAAACCUCAAUGAUAAAUUUCCGACUGGAUGAUACACACUACACCUGUUCUUCAGCGAUGAUGUAUGGUGUGUCUAACAUCUGCCUAUUAGCAGCUGAAUUCCCUUCUAUGACGUGAUACAUAAUGUAUGGUGUGACACAGCUGGGUAAUAAACAAUGUCAGCUGCGU
rnacentral:lncRNA from 1 species